GAACGGACGAGAAGCUUGCUUCUCUGAUGUUAGCGGCGGACGGGUGAGUAACACGUGGAUAACCUACCUAUAAGACUGGGAUAACUUCGGGAAACCGGAGCUAAUACCGGAUAAUAUUUUGAACCGCAUGGUUCAAAAGUGAAAGACGGUCUUGCUGUCACUUAUAGAUGGAUCCGCGCUGCAUUAGCUAGUUGGUAAGGUAACGGCUUACCAAGGCAACGAUGCAUAGCCGACCUGAGAGGGUGAUCGGCCACACUGGAACUGAGACACGGUCCAGACUCCUACGGGAGGCAGCAGUAGGGAAUCUUCCGCAAUGGGCGAAAGCCUGACGGAGCAACGCCGCGUGAGUGAUGAAGGUCUUCGGAUCGUAAAACUCUGUUAUUAGGGAAGAACAUAUGUGUAAGUAACUGUGCACAUCUUGACGGUACCUAAUCAGAAAGCCACGGCUAACUACGUGCCAGCAGCCGCGGUAAUACGUAGGUGGCAAGCGUUAUCCGGAAUUAUUGGGCGUAAAGCGCGCGUAGGCGGUUUUUUAAGUCUGAUGUGAAAGCCCACGGCUCAACCGUGGAGGGUCAUUGGAAACUGGAAAACUUGAGUGCAGAAGAGGAAAGUGGAAUUCCAUGUGUAGCGGUGAAAUGCGCAGAGAUAUGGAGGAACACCAGUGGCGAAGGCGACUUUCUGGUCUGUAACUGACGCUGAUGUGCGAAAGCGUGGGGAUCAAACAGGAUUAGAUACCCUGGUAGUCCACGCCGUAAACGAUGAGUGCUAAGUGUUAGGGGGUUUCCGCCCCUUAGUGCUGCAGCUAACGCAUUAAGCACUCCGCCUGGGGAGUACGACCGCAAGGUUGAAACUCAAAGGAAUUGACGGGGACCCGCACAAGCGGUGGAGCAUGUGGUUUAAUUCGAAGCAACGCGAAGAACCUUACCAAAUCUUGACAUCCUUUGACAACUCUAGAGAUAGAGCUUUCCCCUUCGGGGGACAAAGUGACAGGUGGUGCAUGGUUGUCGUCAGCUCGUGUCGUGAGAUGUUGGGUUAAGUCCCGCAACGAGCGCAACCCUUAAGCUUAGUUGCCAUCAUUAAGUUGGGCACUCUAAGUUGACUGCCGGUGACAAACCGGAGGAAGGUGGGGAUGACGUCAAAUCAUCAUGCCCCUUAUGAUUUGGGCUACACACGUGCUACAAUGGACAAUACAAAGGGCAGCGAAACCGCGAGGUCAAGCAAAUCCCAUAAAGUUGUUCUCAGUUCGGAUUGUAGUCUGCAACUCGACUACAUGAAGCUGGAAUCGCUAGUAAUCGUAGAUCAGCAUGCUACGGUGAAUACGUUCCCGGGUCUUGUACACACCGCCCGUCACACCACGAGAGUUUGUAACACCCGAAGCCGGUGGAGUAAC
rnacentral:rRNA from 1 species